rnacentral:rRNA from 1 species
ACACGUGGUUAACCUACCCUCAGGACAGGGACAAACCCGGGAAACUGGGGCUAAUACCAGAUAGGCGAGGACGCCUGGAAUGGUUCUUCACCCAAAGGACCUUGGAAACAUGCUUCCAAGUCGCCUGGGGAUGGGACCGCGUCCGAUCAGGUUGUUGGUGAGGUAACGGCUCACCAAGCCUAUAACCGGUACGGGCCGUGAGAGCGGUAGCCCGGAGAUGGGCACUGAGACAAGGGCCCAGGCCCUACGGGGCGCAGCAGUCGCGAAAACUCCGCAAUGCACGAAAGUGUGACGGGGCUACCCCGAGUGCCGUCCGCUGAGGACGGCUUUUCCCCGGUGUAACUAGCCGGGGGAAUAAGGAGAGGGCAAGACUGGUGUCAGCCGCCGCGGUAAUACCAGCUCUCCGAGUUGUAGGGAUGAUUAUUGGGCUUAAAGCGUCCGUAGCCGGCUUAGCAAGUCUCCUCGUUAAUUCAGCGACCCAAUCGUUGAGCCGCGGGAGAUACUACUAGGCUACGAGGCGGGAGAGGUCGACGGUACUUUCGGG